UGGAGAUGCCUUUUGUUUUGACUGACUGCUCGUAGGGUUACAAGAAGCCGGCAAAGAUUUACCAUCUAAAAAUGAUUUUGAAAAUCUCAAAAACUAAGAAAAUUACAGUUAGAUACGAUGAGACUUUUUUUUUAUUUUGGAAAACAUUAAUGUAGAAUUAAAGAAGCAUUUGUGUUCAAAAAAAUAAAAAUUGUGUUUUUCCAUCAUUUUUGCUAUCCCAAAAGCUACCCAUAAUGGCUUUAAACUUAUAUGACAUUAUAAUCCAAUUCGGACAAAACAAUUUUAUAAAAAUACCAAAACACUAUAUUUCCUUAGAGUUGUUAAAUCAUAAAAAAUAUUACGUCAUAAAUGUUAUGAUUUUACCUGCUUUACAAGGAUAAGGAAGUACAAAAAACUUGACAAGUGUGUAUAAAUGUACAACAGUAUUCUUUAAAAAAGUUUUUAUAAGCUUUGGGUGACUUAUUAAUAUAUAUUGUUACAUUAUUUUUGUGUGUCAUAUUAGUGUGACUAAAUUUUUUACGUAUUUCAAACUUAGGCUUGUGUUUUCCUAUUUCUGCAAAUUUGAUGAUGUCAUUGUCAAAUUUUUUAGCUAAGUUUUUACUUAAGGCCUGAGUAAUGCUUGUUUAAUAUUUAAGGCCCCAGAAAUUUAAUAAAUCUUAUUCAAUGAAUGCUAUACAUAAAGACAUUCACAGCUUGCAGUAAACUUCUUCAAAACGGCACACUGUAAACAUUUUAAAAUAUUGUUCUCCCUUGUAGAUGCACAUAAUCCCUGUAGUAACACGAAAUUGACAAAAAAAGAGCAUGAUGGUGGUUGAACUUAACAAAUAACCACUGUUUUUCCUGCAUAACCUUUGUGGGUUAUUUUAUGCAUUAGAACCAUGUUUUUAUUGCAUAUUACCUUAUUAUGCAGGCUUUUUCAGGAAUAUUUGAGUAAGUGUGCAAUAAUUCCCAUGUGGAAAUCAAGUAACCGUGUGGGGUAAAAUGCACGUGCAAGGGAUGUUACGUGUGCGAUACUGGCUCCGAGGUUAAUCUUUGUUGUGCAUUCAUUUUUCGGUAGAAAAGUGGGGGACGUUUUGAAUUGUGAAUCCCAAACAAGAUGAUCGAGCGUCUACAUAUAGUGACUCUAUAAAUCUUUACUUCCUUUUCUAUCUAAAUCCGAAAUAGUAUGCAUGACUAUACUGUCAUUUUCAUAAAUUUAUUGUUUAUUUUUCAGGUCAUCACAAGCAAAUAGGCAAAUAUAUGCUUCGCUUGGGUUUCGUUUUUUAAUUGUUUGAAUAAAAACACUUGUGGCAUAAAGAAAAAACUCAAUUAAAUUCGGACCUACUAUGGUUUUCAAUUGUUUUAUCAAAUGAAGAAAUUAUCUACAAUUAAAUCCAUGAUAAAAUGUCUGUUCCGCCUGUAAGUGCAGUUUUGCAGACUUGGUUUAUGCGCCUCUAUCAGUGUUCACCUCUGUAUUAGUUAAGCACCGCAUGGCUGGAUUUCUGGUGUAAGACCUGGUUAAGAACGAUGAAGGGGCCGGGCAAAAGAGAAUUAUCUCUACGUAGUUAUUUUAACUAAGUCAGGAGUCAGUGAAUUAGCUAGGAUGGUCAGAUUGGCUAUGAAUAGGCUUGCCCGUGGAUUAGAAGGACCAGAACUAUUCAAUAAUUCUGAGAUUCAAAAGUGUCUGACCAAGACAGAGACGUUUUGUCCGACAAAAGUUUGAAACGAGCUACGGACAUGUCCGCCCGGACUGGAAAUGUGGCGGACAUUUUGUCUGACGAGUCUCCAAAAAUUAUUUCGAGGGCUGCCAUCGCCGCUACAAAAUGGAUAUUAUAGGUUGAUUUUCUGGGUUUUUCUGGUAAAUAAUAAAACUAUUGACAGUUACCACUAUUUAAAAAAGCUAUUUCACUUUCCUGUUUUUGUUUCAAAAUUAAGAUGUAGAUAAAAUAUAAAACUCACUCAACAUCAUUAACAAAAAAUUCAAGAAAAGAAACUUCAUUCUUCUUCUUUUAAUCAAUAGAUUAAUGUUAGAUAAAUGUUUUAAUCAUUAGAUACAUUGUAUGAAACAUUAUAAACUCAACAUUGAGUGAAGACUGCAAAAAAAUGUUUUUUAAUUGAAAAGUUGAAUACAAAAUAAAUAACGUGCAAGCAUGAGGGCUCUUGUUGUUGUUUUUUAUCUUCUAUUGAGCACAACAGUGAUCUUGUUAUUUAAUUUUCUUGCUAUCUGCACUUAUACAGUCCAUAUAGAGGUAUAACCACUGCACGAGGGAACAUAAUAAGUUAAGGCUCAACCUGCUAGUGUAAACAAAGCAUUACUAUAUAUAUAUACGUACCCUUUAUGGUUGAAUUUAGUUGUCUUCUUUGAAAAUUUGUGAGUUUUGACUCCUUCAUCAUUACUAAACACAAGUAAAAGUAUAAUUAUUUUUUGUAGAGCUUAUCAAAUAGUAUAAUUGCUUCAAAGUUCUAUCGAAUAUUGUGUAAACAAUGACUGAAAAAAAGAUGCUCAAAAUAUUUUCUCCACUCACAAUAAUUUCAAAUGGCAAAAUCUAGACAACCAGAGCUAUAUAGUCACCAUCUUUCUUUUAUCUUUGAAAGUGAAAUUUAUGAUAGCCAAAACCAAGUUAGUUUCAAAGCAAUGGCACGGUAGUGGUUAUAACUCUCGCACUUUGUGCGGGAGACCAGGUUUUAACAUGGCCGAAUGAAUGUUGGCAUAGUCCAGGGUUAACCCAAGUUCAGUUUGGUUUUAAGUUUGGUUUGGUUGUAAGUGACGAAACUUGGUACAAAGAAGCCUCCAUAUGGUGUGACUUACUUAGUGGCAAAAUAUUUGGGUUGACAUGUCAUUACAAGAAGUGAUCUGGGCUUUGAAAUGGUGCAAAAAUAUUUGUAAAAAUAAUGUAUUUAAGAUAGAUUAUUAUCCCAAAAAGAUUUUUUUUCAUAAAUUACUUUUUUGUUAUGCGAUAAAGAUCAAAUAUUUGUUCACGCGUAAUCAUAUUGGGUAUCAAUUUUUACUACUCGAUUAUGUUCAAGGUUAUAACUGAUAGCCGACUCAAAGAGGAAAAUGAUUUUUGUAUGUAGCUAAAAGAAUUUUUUGAAAUUUUUCUCCUAUUUCCCAUCAGGAUAUUUUCUUUUUCUUUUUUGUCUUCCAAAGUUGAAUAUAAUUUACUGUGAAAAACAAGGCGAAGCCAGUUUAUAAGUUAACAGCAAAUAAAAAUGUCCUAUCGUCAUAAAACUUUUAUAUUAUCAAAAAAGAAGAAAAUCCAAAACAAAAAUAUUUGACUCCCUAGCUAAAAUAAGAUUAAAGCAAAAGGUUUUUACUGUCGAUCGCCAAGCUAGCACUAGUCGAAAAGAUUUUUGUUUCUAGAGUUUGUUUUUGUUUUACCCAUACUUAAGUGCAUAUAAUUGCAAAUGUGAGGGAACACAUGCAGCAUAAACAGAAGAUGUGAAAAACCUGUUAACAAAUAGUCAUUACCAUAGUGAUCAAUUAUUAUGCAGAAGUAUAAGACUUCUGUAAGAAACUUAAAAGCUCUUUUUCACAGUGUUAAAUUUUUAAGAGUAUCACUUACGUUUUAAAUCUCUUUUACACAAGUAUAAAGGAUGUGGGGUGGAGAGCACGCUUAGCAAAAACAAAAAGUCUUGUGAUCACAAAAAAGCAAACUUGAGAAAUUAGUAGUUUUGUAAAAGAGAUCGCAUUUGUAGGAGAGGGGUCAUUUAAACCUUCAAGUUAUAGGCUUUCUAAAAAUUAUACAUUAAUUAUAUCAAAAUAAAGUUUUGGUGAAUUAAAAGCAUUUUAAAAUAUCACACCUUUUUUGCAUAAACUAUUCUCAGAACUAGUCAUUAAAAAAAGUCAUACAAAAAUAUUAGGAAUAUUUACAGGUGGUGUGAAGAUAAAGGAAAUCGAGUGACAACUUUCGAACCAUGGUCCUGUAGACUAUCUAUUCUGAACAAAGAAUCUUUGCGUUCUUUUCUUCGAAGUGGCUACAAGUACGUGACCGUAUUUUAAUUUUUUUUUGCUACAAUUACGUGAAUGCGUAAAAUGCUGGUCAGCGUACAUAAAAUCACCACUGACGCCCUUUGUGCGUGGUGUGGAGAAUAUUGCAGAAGGUGCGAAAUAACAUUCCUCGUGAGUUAUUUACAAGUGAAAGAAUUGUUGUUGAUUAAAAAAAAUUAAUUUAUUGAAAAUGAAUGUUGGUAGAUUUGUGGUUUUGACGAAUUGCUAAAGGCUAUUAAUGAGCAUGAAAAGUCAACUUUUACACAACUGUAUGUAAGGAGUUCAAGAUCAGUAGAAAGUGCAGCAAAAAGAGCUAGCAAGAAAGUUUUUGGGAAGAGUUGAGGUAUGCAAAAAUAGACUACGCUUGCAUUCAUGGGGGGAAAGAAUUUAAAUCAGCUUCUACUGGGAAGCGCAAACAUAAUACAACUUACAAAAUGGGAUUACAUACCUUAUCAAAGUGAGGGUAAAAAGUUCUGGACAAAAACUGUAUGUGAAAUCAAUUACAGGAGAACAUAAUCAUCAUGUAACUAAAGAAUGUUUUGAUGAAAACCUUUCGCUGCAGGCAUCACAAAUGUUAAAAGUGAAAUUCAAAACCAUAUUUCCAAUCUGUGUGGGAAAAAUGUUAUCUUGAAAGACCUUCAUAACAUGAGCUCAAAAAACAACGAGAGUGGCCGAAAUAAUGUACAACAGCUACUUGAAGAAAUGAAAAGUGUGCCAGGUAAAUUUAAAUGAAAGGGCAACUGUGGUGCUGGAGACAUAAUCUUUUUUUCAAUCGUCACAGCGACGAAACAAUUAAAAAACAUCAUCUGGCACAUUACUUUCAUAGUGGAGCGUUUACUGAAUCACAAUUAGACACAUGCAUGAAGUGGCUGUGUUCUUCAUUCCACACAUUAAAGCUGAACUAUUUGACAAAGCGAAAGUAUACCAUCUUUCCAACCUUGUACCAACGCCGCGCUACUAGCUACGGACUUGAAAAUUGGUAUGGUGGGCAUGGAAACAUGGUUCUAUUGGCCGGUACCGUGCACCGUUCGUCUCGCAAACUAUAAACUACUUAAAUUUUAAGUUAAAGUCUUCUUUAGGCGCUAAAAAAGAGGAGAAAAAGUUGCCAAAGUGGUGCACGGCGAUUUGAUGUAGUGUGAUCCCUUUUCUGUCUAAUUAAAUAAUUAUCUAAACUUGUAAGCAAGUCACAGUGAUGGCGUUUAAUGUUUUGGUAGGUAUGGUUUUUCCCAGCAAAAUUAUGGCAACCCGGUGAUUACUUUUAACUUGAUUACUCGACCCGGGAAUCCUAGUCCGAAACCGGGAUUUUUUGAAAAUGUUGGAUAAGCGAGACAACAGUGUCUUAGCAAUUUUGAAGCUAGCUAAAGUUUGGCAGAGCACGAGGUAAGGGACAAAACAGUAAACUACUUUAUUUUGCAGGGAUUUUAAUAUUAUUUUUUUGCUAUAAGUCACCCUUGAUUUUAAGAAAUUGUUUUAUAGCUUGUAAAACUUCAAACGUGGAUAAUUGUUAUCUUUUCUAAUCUUUUUUCUUCUGUUUUGUAUUUUUCUAUAAAGAGUAGCUAUAUUUUGGUCCUACAGUUUUGCAUUUUGCAUCGUGUUUUGUAGCUAAGUCACUUAAUACUUCUU